rnacentral:rRNA from 1 species
CAGCAGCCACGGUAAUACGUAGGUGGCAAGCGUUGUCCGGAAUUAUUGGGCGUAAAGGGCUCGCAGGCGGUUUCUUAAGUCUGAUGUGAAAGCCCCCGGCUCAACCGGGGAGGGUCAUUGGAAACUGGGAAACUUGAGUGCAGAAGAGGAGAGUGGAAUUCCACGUGUAGCGGUGAAAUGCGUAGAGAUGUGGAGGAACACCAGCGGCGAAGGCGACUCUCUGGUCUGUAACUGACGCUGAGGAGCGAAAGCGCGGGGAGCGAACAGGAUUAGAUACCCCAGUAGUCCCUGUCUCUUAUAC